rnacentral:rRNA from 1 species
UGCGAGCGUUAAUCGGAAUUACUGGGCGUAAAGCGUGCGCWKGCGGUUUUGUAAGCCAGAUGUGAAAGCCCCGGGCUUAACCUGGGAAUGGCAUUUGGGACUGCAAGGUUUGAGUGCGGCAGAGGAGACUGGAAUUCCUGGUGUAGCAGUGAAAUGCGUAGAUAUCAGGAGGAAUACCGAUGGCGAAGGCAGGUCUCUGGGCUGACACUGACGCUCAUGCACGAAAGCGUGGGGAGCAAACAGGAUUAGAUACCCUGGUAGUCCACGCCCUAAACGAUGUCGACUGGUUGUUGGGGGUUUGACACUCUCAGUAACGAAGCUAACGCGUGAAGUCGACCGCCUGGGGAGUACGGCCGCAAGGUUA